CCUACGGGAGGCAGCAGUAGGGAAUAUUGCACAAUGGGCGAAAGCCUGAUGCAGCAACGCCGCGUGCGCGAUGAAGGCCUUCGGGUUGUAAAGCGCUUUUCUGGAGGACGAGUAAGGACGGUACUUCAGGAAUAAGGAUCGGCUAACUACGUGCCAGCAGCCGCGGUAAAACGUAGGAUCCGAGCGUUAUCCGAAUUCACUGGGCGUAAAGCGCGUGCAGGCGGUUGCGUAAGUUGGAUGUGAAAUCUCCUGGCUCAACUGGGAGAGGCCGUUCAAUACUGCGUGACUAGAGGACGGUAGAGGGAGGUGGAAUUCCGGGUGUAGUGGUGAAAUGCGUAGAUAUCCGGAGGAACACCAGAGGCGAAGGCGGCCUCCUGGGCCGUACCUGACGCUUAGAUGCGAAAGCCAGGGGAGCGAACGGGAUUAGAAACCCCGGUAGUCCUGGCUGUAAACGAUGUAGACUUGGUGUAGGCGGGGUAAAAUCCUGCCUGUGCCGGAGCCAACGCGAUAAGUCUACCGCCUGGGGACUACGGCCGCAAGGUUAAAACUCAAAGGAAUUGACGG
rnacentral:rRNA from 1 species